AUGAAGACAGUCCAGCAGCUCUCCACUCAGAGAUUUCACCUGGAAGGCCCAGACCUGGGGAUAUUGGCCUGAACAUUUUAGGAAAGAGCGGAGUCCCAUUCUGUUACAAACUUGAAGUUCACGUAACAUCUGCCCACUUCAACAAGACAGGAACGCAAGUGACAACAGCGCGCAGCAGUGACCAUACAGCAAGGGAGGUGUGAGUUCCUUCUUGAUGGAGUUGGAAAUGAAGCCGCUGGAGGUCUCCAGCCCCUUCUUUUGUGUCCCCUCCCCACCCCAUGGAGUUCCCAGUGUCCCAGAGAAAACCUGCUCUUUCUAAAGGAAUGAAUCUGUCCUGGAUCACUUGCACCUCUGUGUGAAUUAAAUCUUUGACCACGUA